CGCGUAGUAGUGACAUACAUAUAUGAAUAUGAUGAGUGUGUGGAGUAUGUGCGUGCGCAGCGCAUGGUAAAACAGAAGAAUGCAACUGUUGCAUACGCAAGGCGAUGAAAAAGAUGGCGGGACAAAGAGAGUGCUGAGACGCGUGCAAUGUGUAUUUACGAAUAUUUUGUAAAUAACAUAUUAAAUAAAUCUGAAACUAUUUUGAUAUCAAUUCUAAGUGUAAUUACAAUGAAACCAGUGCGCGCAUAUUCGGACGAUUUGACGUUUCGACGUACUUGAUAACAACGUAUUACAACAAUAUAUUCAGAUACAGUGGCUGCAGAAAUUAUGGCCGCAUAACCUUAUUUUAUCACGUCCCUUUAUCACAAACUCUACAUUUCACUUUUAUAGUGGCAAAUUAGUGCAGUCGUAUGAAAGUAUUGCACCGAAUCGUGCAAGAUAUAUUUCGCUCUAAUUAAUUAGCAUUAUAGCACAGACGUUCCAGUUAUUACGUAGGAGACAUAAGAAAUCACGAAAUUGACAGAUCACCGGUGAUCUUUUUGCGUCGCAGUUGCGUUUCACAAAUAAGGAAGAUUUAUAUACUAUGGGUUUGGUUCCCAUGGAGGGGGUGUCGCUGAGGCUCAGCUCAGAGAUGGCCAUGCUGUUACUGUUUUCUCACAUUGGAACACUCUCUACGUUGUUGUUUCGAUGGAUAGAUUCGUCGGCGGCAUCGAUCCGAUCGUAACGUGGUUCCAGGAUUUUGGAAAUGGUCCAAACUUCCGAGUGGAGCCUGUAGAAUUUUAAUUACGCCGGUGGCCAGGACCAGACAACAAAAGGCAGCCGCGUAUUUGGUACACAAGGACAGAUUUUAUUCGUGAAACGUUAAAUGGAAGAAUGAAAUAUCAAACGAAGCAAGCCCGAUCAAUUUAUUCAAACAAGAUUUCAUUGAAGCUGUAACGUUUCCUAAUAGAGUCAAACUUCUGAUGGGUGAAUCUAAUUAUCUGAACCUAUACUUCUAUUAUGAAUUGUAUUAUGAAUUGUAAGUAGUGGAGAGUAGUAUUAUGAAUUGUAAGUAGUGGAGAAGAUAGAGCAGUAUUCCUAUUGUAUCAAUUCUAAUUACAUGAAUUCUUUGAUAAGUUCGCACACAGUGAGAGCCAACAAGUGAGUAUACACCUCACAAACAUUUUCAUAAUACUUAUAUCUUUUACUAUUAAUUUAUAUUCUUACUUUGGGUCUUUUCAAUUAAUUUAUUAUUUAUGUAGCAUAUAUAUGCAGAGUAGAAGCUCCAUUAUCUGAACGUUCCACUAUUUGGACACUUGUCACGUGUAAAGAACUUAAUCCUCUGCAAGAAUGUUUGUUAACAGUCAACGAAGAUAAAGCUUCAGGAACAAUUAAGAGGAUUAGCUGUUAUACUGCUGUUAUAUGUGUUAAAUGUGAUACUAGAAAGAUUGAGGACACCAUUUUUAUUAUAUUACUACAGAUUCAGAAGAAACUCCUUUUCCAUAGAAUACCAGAAUCCUAUGAUCCUGAUAACGUCGACGCUAUAGAACGCUUUUAAUGUGAUGAAUCUUCUUCAGUGGACGUCUUCUUCAGAUGAUGUUAAUGUCGUUUGGCGGAAAAACGCGACGAAGGGAAUUGGCGUAGCUGCUGAUUGCACAGUUUCUCGGUUACAUUGGCGUAACCGGUUCUCCACGACUUCUCGUCGAGUGUCUUUGUGUCGUCGAGGAAUCCGUGCCGUUCAAGCGAUUUUUAUUAAACGACGCGGCUCACAGGGUACAUUGUUUGUCGCGAGCAACGCCACUUCAUCGCCUCUUGUGGGAACAGCCAACCACGAGCCACCGUAGAAUCUCGCAAUUGCUGACUGAUCAGUAUUUAGCAGUACAUAUAACAACAGUACUUUGCAAAGAACAUUAAAGUGAUCCAGGAAAUUAGCAUUUCUUCUGAUAAACUGCACCUCGUUCGAUGCAUAUAAAAUGUACUGUACCUAUCUGCCAGAAAAUAAAACAAGAUGCAACAAAUUUCUACUGCAAGUAGCUAGAGAAUGGAUAACUGUGGAUUCCAAACAAUGCAGCAUUGCACCUGGCACUUCUGGAAUUUCUAAAACACCUGCUUAUUAUAAUGAUGCAUCCUUCAGGUUUGACAGACGACUAAGAGACCACAUGUUAGAAACAAUAGUUACUGGCAGAAAAACAAAUCUGACUAGAGCGUGUAUAGUAUGCUGUUCAAAAGGAAAACUCAGGAAUUGCACAUCCAAUUAUGAAAUAAUAUCCAGUGACAUGAGAUAAAUUCUCAGGAAAAUUACCGGUCCACAAUGUUGCUGUUACAACAACAAUGGUGCUUUUUUAAUGUUUUUAACUCUGCAGGCAUUUUGAAUAGAUUACACGCGUUUAAUGAUAUCAUAUAAUGUUUCAAAAUAUUAUUAUAUAACGUGGAAAUGGCGAUGAAAAGAAAUUGCUUGAAGCUGUACAGGUAAAUUCUAUCGAUUGCAAACUAAAUUGCAGUCUGAUAUUAUUAAUACUGACGAUGUAUUUAUCGAUAUAUAAUAUAUAUAUAUAAUAUUAAUUAUAUGCAAUAUCGAUGGAAUACUUGUGAAAGUUUAUUUACGCCAUGUCAUAUUAGGAAGGCAAUUUCCAAACGGAAUUUAUUUCCAUAUGGUUUAUAGGAAUUAUUAUGAAAAUUCUUUUUCAUAUUUCCUGCUUUUUAAUUCGCCUUCUAUAUUUCAAUUAAUAUUGCCUGGAUAUUGUAAAACAUACGUACAAGAUGUGCAAAUACGAAUACGAAUUUUGUAUUAUGUUUGUCUGUGAACUCUUUCCACUCCUUUAUAUUAUAAAUUACAUGUUAUAUGUUCUAAUCAUAUGUUGUAGUUUGAACAACGCAUAUAUGUUGAGUGUAACUAUAUCUAUUGAUCAUGAAUAUAUUCAUUCAAAUAUAAACGCACAAACAUUAGAAUUCCAUAGAAAUUGUUGAGUAAUUAGAGUAAUAUAUGCAUAUCCGUAAUAACAUUUUGCUAAAAGUAUUGGGUUGGCAAUUAAGUGAUUGCGAAUUUUGUCAAUACCACCUAAUGACAAAAUCUGCAAUCACUUAGUUGCCCAAUAAUAAUCCAUAUGAAUGGAAUAAAUUCCAUUUGAAAAUUGCCUUUUUAGUAUGAAAUAGAGUAAAUAAACUUUCACAAGUAUUCCAUCGAUAUUACAUAUAAUUAAUAUUAUACAUAUAUUUUAUAUAUCAAUAAAUACCCAAUAAUAUUCUAAAGUACAUUUGGGACGUGAAGGAUUAAAUGGAGCUUACGCAGCUUGCAAAUGACUUUAACAGAAAUAUCCAAAAGCUUUAUUACAACUUCCAAAUCAAAUACUGGGGAAAAACCCUAACCUCGUUUCAUCCUCUUUUAAACGUCAAAUUAAACCGAAAACGAGACGUUUUCUUUACCCUGCAAUCUGUUUCUCACCAUCAAACCUCAUAGUUGCCCCUCAAACACAUUUUAAAAUCGCUCGUUCAGCAUCCUUAUCUUCCUUCUCAAUCUCUUCCUCCUUUUAUUUGUCUGCAGGGGGAAAGAAAGAGAGGGAGAGAGAGAGAGAGAGAACGAUUGCUUAAUUUUACCCAAUUUUCUCCAAUUUUUCCGAAGGUAACUCUGGAAUCAGCCGAAGCAGAAAAGCGUGACGCGCAUCAACCCAAGCCAGCUUUUAUAUUUCCUCGACGUUAGAUUGCAUUCCUCGACGUACGUAUGUAGGUCGUCGCGUUUCUUCCUGGCGUUCCAGUUUCAGAAAUUUGCGUUUAAGUCCCGUGGAAUCGAAUUUCGACAGCCGCUCCCCACCGUGAUUCGUCGUUCAUUUGUUUAUAUUUAUUCAAUCGUUUGCAUUUUGCAAUGUUGUUGUGUCUGGCAAUGAUGGAAGGUUUCACGAUAUUUAUUUUGUUCAUUGCGUACUGAUUCAACUGACUGAAUCUUUCUUUUGUUUCCUUUCGAUGGUUUAAUCUUCCAAACAUCACAUGAUUAGUAUAAGCGACGUUGUUUAUCUUCUUGACUUCUGUGUAACUUGAUCAUCUUCGCUAUGUUUUGUUAUUCCACGAGUUUAUCUUUCGAUGUUGAACGAUGUCGAAUAAGCGAUGCUGGAUUAAACGAAGCUUCUGUUUGGUUUCAUUUGAUUUUUCCAUUAUUCUCGAUUAUUACUAUUGUUGAUAAUUUUCUCACUGGUUUCUUAUUCCAUGGUUCUAUAUACUUAUAAUUUUACAGUUUACGGUAUUAAAAAUUGGAAACACGCAUUGAAGUUUGGGAGGAUUUUUAUAUGUUUAAUAUAAUUCCAAUACAAUAUCAAUAUAGUAGGUGCAUGAUAUUUAUAGCAAAAAUAAAUCUCGUGAUCCUAAAUGGUUUUCUAAUCAGGUUCAAUUGAACUAUUGGGUUGGCAACUAAGUGUCACUUAUCACGCAAUCACUUAUUUGCCUAACCUCAACUUAACCUCAGUACGUAGAACGUAGCAGAAAAGAAGAAACUUGUGCAUGUUUAAAAUCUCUCAAUUAUAUGAUAUUUGCCACAUGACUUCAAACCCUAACUCACUUUCAAAUUUCAUUACCAGCUAGUGACAAUCUCCGCAAUCACAUAGUUGCCAACCUAAUAUUUUUAUGUACUUCUGCUUUUAGUAAACUAAUAUAAGAAUAAAACUCUUUUUCACUAAAAAAUACACCAAUCAUUCAAUGCAACUGAACCUGCAUACUGAAUCGAUCAUUUAUGGCAAUCCGCAAAAUUCUCAAGUAAUUCUAUAAAUUUUGUCCAUCUGGUAUCGUCGUUAAAAGCAAACGAUACCAAAUUUCUGAUUGCUAUCUGAUGAAGGAAAGCCGUGCGCUUGAAGUCACUUCGAUGUUAGGGAAAUAUCAGAUGAAAGAGGCGCGAACCGUAAUAUGGUGAAAGUUGGCAUAACUGAUGGAAGGAAGCGGACGAGAGCGGAAGUUAGUGGAAAAAUCAAUGAAUGGAAGGAUUUAAUCGCGCGAUCUAGUUUCGUAGGCGAAGUGAAGUUGUUCGUGUUUUGAUGUCAGGUAGCACCGAUUCGAAUACGCUCUCAGGUUAGUUCGCCUGCAAGUGUAAUAAAAAUGGAGAAAGAAGAAGGAAGCGAAGAGACGCGACAGAGAUCUACCGAUACUGAUUCCUCUCCGUUCAGUCGUAUUUCUUCUCCGUUUUCGACUUGCUGCUCACUUUAACGCGCUGUCUCCGCGCGUCAAUUGCCAACACCUUUCUGCAGACUGCGCUCCAGUUUCUUUCGUUUGCAAGUCUAAUAAAAAACGAGAAAGAAGGAGAAGAAAAAGGAGUAGAAGAAGAAGAAGAAAAGAUAGGGAGAGAAAGAAAGGACGACAAGGAGAGACUUACGGUCCUCGUGGAAUACAGAGGAAACGUGGCGCGUAAAUAGAGCGAAUAAAAGAGGUCGAGUUGAAAUGGGGCUGAAAAUUUGUAAAGAUGAGGAAAAGGGUUUUUUUCGAGUUAAUGAAGGAAUUCUACAGUGGAAUUCAUGUCAUUUCAACGAACGACCAAUUUCAAGAGGAUUCGAUUAUUUCUUCGUUAGCCAUUAAACUAUACAUUGUGCUUAUUUUCACCAACCAGCUGCUUCUUACUCCAUUGCACCGAUAAAAUAGCAAUUUUCUAUCGGACAAAAGGAAAUGUUUCGCGUGGUUUCCAACAACGUUUCAGAGUUCAGGUUAUCGGUAAUCGUCUGGUAAAUAAAAAAUCGUUGAUUCAUGCCAUCUCGUGAUAGAAUCCCUUGGCUUUUGGAGGAUAUCGCGUGAGAGGACAAUUUUGCAAUCGCAGGAAUAUUAUUUGGCGAGCCCGUGCUAUCAUUAGCGAGCAAUUCAUCGUGUCGUGACGGGAAAAUUGACCGUCCAAACACGAAGAAUCGAUAUUCCAUUACGGAGGAUCGGUGGUUGGCCAGAGAGUCUGCGAUAAGAGUUCAACUAUGUAUAUCUUCUUGCAGUUACAUUUGAACUUUUUGUAAUACACCGGUCCACACAAAACAGACGAACUCCAGAACAGUCAGACAUAUAGUGGAAUUGUUAGUCGAAUAGCGAACAGUUAGAGAGUCGAAUAGUAACAUUGAGCGAGCCACGAUUACGACAUGCACUAUCUCUGUACUUGUACUUAACAAAACUCUGCCUGUAAUCAAUGAGGAAAGCGGAUUUUCCUGGUCGCCUGACGUACUUAUUUCUCGUGUUUUCGUCAACUUUUCCUACGCUCAUGUGGCGCUACAAAUUUAUUCAAAUUUUGAUACUAUUUUAGUCUUCAAAGGAAAUUAAUUGCAUUGUUUAACAUAUAGAAAUUAAAUUGUUAGAUUAUUUGAUUAACUUACUAAAAUAUAUGCAGCCAAUAUAGCUGAGCUCGCAUAUAUCUUCACUUGAUUCUCAGACACAUUUACAUUUGAUCUUCCAAAAUGAACAGCAUCAUUUGACAUACGCAACAUAUCUUGAUAAAUUGUUAACUCAGUAAGUAUAAACUAUACGUAGAAGAUCUCACGUAUACUUUUACUUUAUUCUUAGAUCUAUUCACUUGUUAGUUCACUUUCCAAAAUCACUUAUACUUCUUCGCAAGCUUAUUAACUGUUUGAAGUACAGAAACUAAGUAACAUAUAUGUAGCAUCGUGGACAAAUGGCCUAAGAAAUAUUUGGCGAAUCAUAGACAGUAUUGCGAGAAUCCCCAAGUAUCGUUAGGCCAGAAAGGGCCUGGCAGUUUUACCGGGGAGUCGAGUAGAAAAGUCGUGAAUUGAGAGUUGAGGUGUGAGUUGACAGUCUAGUGGAAUAGUCGUUAGUGGAGAGUCGAGUGGAGUAGUCGUGAAUUGAGAGUCGAGUGGAGUAGCCAAGUUUUGAGUUGACAGUCGAGUGGAGGGGAGUCGAGUUGCGAGGAGUUGAGAGCUGAAUUGCCGAGUUGUUAUGAGUAGUAAACUAUUACAAUAGUUGUGAGUUGUGAAUUAAUUAUUUAGUUGUCUUAGUUAUAGCACAUUACUGUAUUUAGUUCACGUUAAAUAACCACCGUUUUCUGUUUAAUCCAUUGUAAAUAGAUCUAUGGAUCAAUAAACUUAUUAUAUAGGAUAAAUAAAAAAUUCCUAUAUAUACCUCGUGUUCAGUCUU